UACGUAGGGUGCGAGCGUUAAUCGGAAUUACUGGGCGUAAAGCGUGCGCAGGCGGUUGGUUAAGUCUGAUGUGAAAGCCCCCGGCUCAACCGGGGAGAGUGGCUGGAAACUGCGUUUCUUGAGGGCGAGAGAGGAGGGUGGAAUUCCUGGUGUAGCGGUGAAAUGCGUAGAGAUCAGGAGGAACACCCGUGGCGAAGGCGGCCCUCUGGCUCGACCCUGACGCUGAGGCGCGAAAGCGUGGGGAGCGAACGGG
rnacentral:rRNA from 1 species